rnacentral:rRNA from 1 species
GACGAACGCUGGCGGCGUGCCUAAUACAUGCAAGUCGAGCGAUGAGGGUAGGUACUUGUACCGCCUGGGUGAGCGGCGGACGGGUGAGUAACACGUGGGGAAUCAACCUAUGAGAGGGGGACAACAUCUGGAAACGAAUGCUAAUACCGCAUAAUAAAUUUAAACACAAGUUUCAAGAUUGAAAGAUGCAAUUGCAUCACCCAAAGAAGAUAUCGCGUCGUCUUAGAUAGGUGGUGAGGGAAAGGCCCACCCAGGCGAAGAUACAACGCCGCCCUGAGAGGGUGAGCGGCCACAGUGGGACUGAGACACGGCCCAACCGCCUACGGGAGGCAGCAGGAGGGAAUCUUCGGCAAUGGACGAAAGACUGACCGAGCAACGCCGCGUGAGUGAAUAAGGGUGUCGGAUCGUAAAACUCUGUUAGUAGAGAAGAACGGUGGUGAGAGUGGAAAGCUCAUCAAGUGACGGUAACUACCCAGAAAGGGACGGCUAACUACGUG